CCUACGGGAGGCAGCAGUAGGGAAUUUUGCGCAAUGGGGGAAACCCUGACGCAGCAACGCCGCGUGAUCGAUGAAGCCCUUCGGGGUGUAAAGCUCUGUCAGUGGGGACGAAACCUGACGGUACCCACAGAGGACGCACCGGCUACCUCCGUGCCAGCAGCCGCGGUAAUACGGGGGGUGCAAGCGUUGUCCGGAAUCAUUGGGCGUAAAGAGUUCGUAGGUGGCACGUUAAGUCUGGUGUUAAAGAUGGAAGCUUAACUUCCGUAGGGCACUGGAUACUGGCGGGCUUGAAUGCGGUAGAGGAAGAGGGAAUUCCUGGUGUAGCGGUGAAAUGCGUAGAUAUCAGGAGGAACAUCGGUUGCGUAAGCGCUUUACUGGGCCGUAAUUGACGCUGAGGAACGAAAGCCGGGGGAGCAAAUGGGAUUAGAUACCCCAGUAGUC
rnacentral:rRNA from 1 species